CUUCUGAGUCUCAAGGGGGGUGUAUUGAGGUCUUUCAUUCCCACAUUUCUUUUUUGUGAAGUUUCAAUCCUAAAAUUUAUGGUCCCUCUUGUUGUUUAAGAGCUUGGUACUGCUGUGUGAGAACCAGGGCCUGGGUGAUAGAUAGGCGUUCCUUAAUGAACAUCAUAAGGCAAUUUAAAAUACAGGGGCCAAAAGUAAGUAACAGUAACAAAAUAACCAGAGGACCUAGUAUGGUAGAAAUCAGGGUGGUCAGCCAGGGGGACCCAUUGAACCAGCUCUCAAACCAACCCUGUUGAGAUUCCCGGUCUCUCCGGCGUUGGUUGAGUCUUUCCCUAAGUUUUGCCAUGGAAUCUUGUAUGACCCCAGAAUGGUUAACAUAGAAACAACAUUCUUCUUUGAGGGCGGCACAGAGCCCACCUUCCUUAAGAAAAAGGAGGUCGAGACCUCUUCGGUUUUGUAAGGCAACCUCAGCCAGGGAAGCAACAGACAAUUCUAAUUUAGUAAUAGAGCCCUCAACCUCUUGGAUAUCUUCCUCGAUGGCUAGUUUUAAUUCUGAGUAUCCUUGGGACCCUUGAACCAGUGCAGCCACUCCUGUGCCUAGGCAUUCCGGCUGCCAUUCCUGCCCCCCAUAGGAGGGCUAGGGUAAGUGAUAUAGGCUCUCUCUUGUACCUUAAUGGGAUUCCCUCAUAAACUUGUUCCAGAACUUCAGGAGGGGAAGCAAGCGGACUAGGACACAAAAAUCUUUGGAGGCAUUUAGGACUUGGGUGUGCACACAGGGUGUGGGUCCAGUAUUUUACAUGCCCACCAGAGUCCCGAUUCUGGGACCAGGUAAUUUUGACUUCCUGGCUGUUGGACGGUUCGGUUACAGAGACCUGACUUGGAGGAUGGAGGGGUUCGUAGGCAUAGACCCUGGUCGGAAACUUGGAUGAGUGUUAACCUAUGGUCCACCUCCCAGCCGCAGUUAGGGCUGGUGGUGGUGUUAAUAAAGUUUCCCAUCGUGGCAAUCCCUUCAUAAUAGGGAGGUAUAGAUGCUAGGCAUAGCCAACAAGAGGUAGUAAGGUUUGGCUGGGUAUUGUUGAGGGCCGAAAAAGCCCCUUGAACCAAGCUGAAGAGUCUCUGUUCCGUCAAAGGAGGCAUGGGAUGAGACUGGGGGAAGUUGGGGUUUUGGGGCUUUAGGCGGCCCUUGUUCUGACAACACAUCAUUAGGUCCUAUGGGAGCCGUUAGGGGACUGGUUAUCUUGAGUCUAAUUUGGAAUGAAAGUCCCUUAUCUCUCCCUGGCAUGUAGAAUCUUAGUCCCCAGGUUCGUCCCUCGACCCAUCGUUGAACUGUUUUCCCAGAUUUGUGAAAGUUAUAUUAAGGGUGUUUGAAGUCUGGUUUUCCCUCCCAACAGUAAUUAAGUCCCAGCUUGACGAGGGGUGCCAUGGAACCUCUCAUGUGGUCACACAACCCCAUUGUUUGCAAAAGAAGUCCCCGAGCCCCCACAUCUAUGCACCUCUGACCUUGAUCUGCUGUCCCUAGGGCAGACAUAGAAUGGAGUUACUUGUAGGGCUUUUCGGGUACCUGGGUACUUGCAGCUGGGGUAGGCUCUGACACCUGGCCUGGUAGAGGGCCAGGGGCAGGAGUUGAACCCAGUCUCUAGUGCUAGUCUCCAAUGCUAAUUUAGUCAAGGUCUCCUUAAUUGUUCUAUUUAUUCUUUCUACCUGACCUGAACUUUGUGGUCUAUAAGCACAAUGUAAUUUCUAAUCAAACCCCAGUAACUUGGCCACCAACUGACUUACCUGGGAGACAAAAGCCGGCCCAUUAUCAGACCUGAUUACCUUGGGUAGGCUGAAUCGAGGGAAGAUUUCUUCUAGAAUCUUCUUAACUACCACCUGUUUCUCUCUUGGUAGGGAAGGCCUCAACCCAUCCUGAGAAGGUAUCUAUGAAAACUAGCAGGUAUUUGUUACCGUACAGGCCAGGUUUAACUUCUGUAAAGUCCACUUCCCAAUAGACACCGGAGCGGUGUCCUCUGGUCCUGGAUCCUUCUGGAAGUUUUAGUCUUCCUGCAUUGACUUUUGCACAAGGAACACAUUGAUCAAUAACCUGCUGAAUGAGAUUCUGCACAUGUGUUAAGAGCGUCUGGAGAAGCUGUUGACAAUCAUCCCAAGUGAGCUGAUGAGUCAUUAGAAUGGACUCAGUGAGCCUGAAAAGUAAUAUCUAAGCAUUGCAGAAAAGCAGACAAUGGUUGAAACAAGGGAAGAUAUCUGUUAGGAAGUGAUGUUCACAUCUCUCCAGGUAAUGGUCCUUUAUGGCUUUUGCCCUUCCAAUGUCUUUCUGAAUAGAGAUUCAUUUAUUUAGGUCAUAUCAUAUAGUUAUAUAGAUCCAUAAACAUUAUUUUAAAGAAAGUUUUCAUUAUAUAUACAAACCCCAGUUUCCCCUCUCUCCCCUUGCACACAGUGACACACUUCCUCCAACAAGGCCAUACGCACUCCAACUUCAACAAAGCCACACCUCCUAACAGUGACACUCCCUGUGAAAUUUUGGGGGCUAAUUGUGUUCAAAUUACCACAUUACUAGCCACCAGAAGUUUGUAGCAACAUCAUAAUGCAAAAUGCAUUUAGUCCAACUCUAAAAGUCCCCAUAGUGUAUCACAGUGGCUCAACAAUGUUUAAAGUCCAAAGUUGCUUCUGAGAUUCAUACAAUCUCUUAAGUGUAAGCACCUGUAAAAAUCAAAAUCAAAAGGCAGAUCACAUAAUGGCACAGGAUAUACAUUACUUUUCCAAAACAUAGGGAAGGGAGCAUCAUGAGGAAAUACUGCACCAAAGCAAGACCAAACACCAAGUGGGCAACUCCAAACUGUACAUCUCCCUGUGUGAUGUCAGAACACUCUUCAGAUCUCCAACUCUCUUCAGCUUUGUUAACUGCAAUGCACUGCUCUCUCUUGGGCUGGUUGCACUCCCUGUUGCAGUUCUCCUUGGCAGGUGUCCCUUGACUCUGGCAUCUCUAACACUGGGUUCUCCAGGGCAAUCCAGACUUUACCUUCAUAGCUUGACACAAUGGUCUCUGUACUAGGCCUGCAUUCAGGAUCACCCCGACACAAGCCUGGCCUCAUUGCCUUUAUUCCGUAACUCCUUUCUUCUGUUCUAGAACUCACUGUGUAGUCUAGCUGGCCUCAAAGGGAUUUUCUUGCUGGUAUUAACAGGGUCACUAUUGGGCUUCAAGUCCAGUUCUUAUCUAAGAGAUAGGGAAACUGACAAAGGAGCUUGUGCUGAGGCCAAAUGAGUCAGGAUCAGAAGUCCAGUAUUUCUUCACUUGGAUGCCAGUCAUCUUUACUCUUUCCUGUUACAAACACAUGGGUACACUUCAUGUAUACACAUACACACAUGCUGAGUCACUCAAAGUUGUCAGAUUUGUCUAGGAAAUAAAGACUCAAAAGGCACUACACAACUCCAAGAGGAAUCAGUGCCUGAGAAGUUGGCCUCUAGAAUAAAGAAAGUUAGAAAUAAGCAAGAAGCUAUUUUCUUUCCCUUGGAAUGAUAGCUGUUAAAGUGAAGGACCAAGAAUGUAGAUCAUAUUAAGACAGCAAUGAUAGGGCUUAUCAAGUAUUUAACAGUGGUAAUAAUUUCUGCAUCUAAUAAAUUUAAAAUUAUGAGCACAUUUAAAUUACCAGUAAUGUAUACUGCAUUGGGAUUUUGUUAAUCUUUUUUUUUUUUUUUUUUGAGAUAGGGUCUAAAACAGCCAAAACUGACUUCAAACUCACUAUGCACCAGCAGAUGACUGUAGUGCUUUGAAUAAAAAUGGCCCCACAGGCUUAUGUUUGAAUAUUUAGUGGUCAGUUGGUGGAUCUCCUUGGGAAGGAUUAGGAGGUAUGGCCUGUCAGUGAGGGUGGGUGUGAUGGUAUGAAUGAGAAUAGUCUCCAUCGCUCAUAUAUUGGAAUGCUUACUCACCAGUUGGUAGACUGGCUGAAAAUUAGCCUUGUUGGAGGUGUUUUGCCCCUGGGGAUGGAUGGUCUUUGAGGUGUCAAAAGCCCAUGCCAGGCCAAGUCUAUACCCCACCCCCUGGCCCAGGUUAUUGCCUGAGGACAAGGAUGUAAAACUCAGCUACUUCUUCAGCACCAUGCCUGCCUGCAGGCUGUCAUUGUCUUCACAUGUUGAUGAUUGUCUAAGCCGCUGAAGCUGUAAAGAAGCCCCAGUUAAAUGCUUCCCUUUAUAGGAGAUGCCUUGGUUAUGGUGUAUCUUCACAGGAGUAAACAGUCACUAAGAUAUGAGCCUCUGAGAUUCCAAAAGACCUGUGCUAUGCUCAGCUCUUCCUGCCUCCUACAGAUUUUCCUGCUGCCAUGCUUUUCUUCCACCACAUUGGACUUUAUCCCUCUGAAGCUGCAAACCCAAUUAAACACUUUCUUCUAUAA